AGAGAAGAAAAAAAAAAAAAAAAAAAAAAAAAAAAAAAAAAAAGUCAUCGACACAGUGAAGUCGACUUCGAGACUUCGACUGUGACGCACGCCUCAGCCCUCACGAAGACUUGCUUGGUGUUGAUGCUUCCAUUGCUAAUUCCUUCUAAUUUCUUGAGUAUCUUGUUGAUUGAGUAGCAAAAAUCGAUUCCCAAUUGUUCAAUUCGACUCCAAGUGACCAAACCCUAGCUAAGAAUGAAACAAGUAAGUGUUUGAAAAUUGAAAUUUUACCAAUUUGUUUAGGUUGAAAUUGCUAUGUUUUUAUCUUGAGUUUGGUGAAAUUGCUAUGUUUUCAUUGAUGUUAUUGACUUAUUGAUUGAUUUGGUGAAAUUGCUAUGUUUUCAUUGAUGUUAUUGACUUAUUGAUUGAUUUGGUGAAAUUUUACCAAUUCGUUUAGGUUGAAUUUGCUAUGUUUUUAUCUUGAAUUGGUGAAAUUGCUAUAUUUUCAUUGAUGUUAUUGACUUAUUGAUUGAUUUGGUGAAAUAAAAUUGCUAUGUCAUAUUGUCUUUAUUGAAAUUCAAUUUUGAUUUGGUGUAAUUUCUAUGUUUUGACUUUUGAUUGAAGCUAUUGGAUGAUUUGGUGAAAUUAUUAGUUAUUUAGCUUAAUGUUGAAUUGUAGGUUACCCUUGGUGGUUUUCUUACCAAAAGACCAAGACCUAAUAUUAAUUAAAGUGGUGAAGGAUCUUCCCAAACACCAAUCACCAACCAAUCAAUUCCUUCGGUCUCUAAUGCAAUUCCACAAACACCAUGCUCUAAUGAAACUAAUGAUGGUGUUGAUUUGAAAGAUCUUCCAAAGGACCCGACGGAUAGGCCAAUGAUUACAAGUUAUGCCUCAAAUAUAAGAGAUGAUGUAAGAAGGGCAUAUUUGCUUCAAGGGCCUUGUCAAAUAAGGCUACAUAAGUUUCCAAAAAAGAAAAUAGGUGAUAGAUUAAGAAGCUUCGUUCCUUCAUGGUUUAACGAUUUUGAUUGGUUGGAAUAUAUUGUGAAAAAUAAAAAAGCAUAUUGUUUAUAUUGCUAUGUAUGUGGAGACCUCAUGGGACAAAAAGGAGGGAGAGAUGCAUUUGUUUCCUAAGGUUUUGAUACUUGGAAUAAAAAAAUGCAUUUCGGACUCAUGUGGGUAAUGUUGAUAGUUUUCACAACAAAGCAAGAGGAAAUUGUGACUUUUUAUUGAGAGAAAAACAAGCUAUUAAUGUAGUCUUGAGGAGGCAAACCGAAGCAGAGGACCAUAAAUAUAAAGCGUGAUUACGUGUUUCUAUUAUUGUUGUUAGACUUUUAUUGAAGACCGGUUUACCGUUUCGUGGUAAUGACAACUCGGUUAACUCGGAAAAUAGAGGGCUUUACAUUGAAGUGUUAAAAGUCAUUCGAGAGACUAGUUAAGAUAUUUUCAACAAUACUUUAGAAAAUGCUCCUAAGAACAAUCAACUUAUUUGCCCUAAAAUCCAAAAAGAACUUGUGCAAUGUUUUGCACAAGAAGUAUUUUUUAGUAUUCGUCAAGAGAUUGGUCAAGAUGUAUUCGCUUUAUUGGUUGAUGAAUCUAGCGAUGUCUCAAAAAAGGAACAAAUGGCUAUUGUUUUGCGAUAUGUUGAUAGUCUUGGCUUUGUGAAAGAAAGAUUCAUUGGAGUUGUGCACGUGAAAGAUACAUCCUCUUCGACAAACAAAAACGCCUUAAAUGAAGUACUUACAAGUAAUAAGUUGAGUUUUAGUCAGGUAAUUUAUUCUUUACUUUUUGUUACUUCAAUUUAAUUUAAUUAGCUUUGUGUUAUAUUAUUUAUAUAUUUUUCAAUUUUUUGAAUAGAUAAGAGGACAAGGUUAUGAUGGGGCUAACAAUAUGCGAGGGGAAUUUAAUGGUUUGAAAGCUUUGAUAUUACAAGAGAAUGACACAACUUUUUAUGUACAUUGUUUUGCACACCAACUUCAAUUGGUGGUUGUAGCUGUAGCAAAGAAGCAUGAUGGUGUUAGUGACUUUUUUGAGUAAAUUUCGUUGGUGGUUAAUGUUGUUUGUGCCUCGUGUAAAAGAAAAGACUUGUUACGGGAACAAGCAAGACAAAGGGUGCAAGAAGGCUUAUGUAGUGGUGAACUUGAAACAGGAAGAGGAUUAAAUCAAGAGACUACACUUGUUCGGGCGGGAGAUACAAGAUGGGGUUCACAUUUCAACACACUCACAAGUCUGAUGAAGUUGUUUGCGGAUGUUCUUGUGGUUUUAGAAUUUGUGAAAGUGGAUGGAGGGUCAUUGGCAAACCGCCAACAAGCGUCCGGAAUUUUAGCAUAUUUUCAACCAUAUGAGUUCGUGUUUUACUUGUAUAUGAUGUAUGACAUUUUACACCUCACGGGUACAUUAUCAAAGCAACUUCAAAAAAAAGAUCUAGACAUUUUAGAAGCGGCUUCGAUGGUUAGAGGGACAAUGGAAGCAUUGCAAUCUUUAAGAGACACGAGGUUUGCUACCAUUUUGCCAAAGGUAUCCUCUUUUUGUCAAACACACAAUAUUGCUACUCUGGAAAUGCAGGAUUUUUAUAUUGGUGCGAGAAACCGUACGACCACAAAGACCAAUAGAUUUCACUUUGAGGUUUAAAUCUUCAACACAGUGGUAGAUAUGCAAUUGACAGAAUACCGGGAUCGAUUUAGUGAAACAAGCACCCAGUUACUAGAAUACAUGGGUGCUUUGAGCCCUUGUGAUAGAUCUUGAAGGACAACUUGAAGGACAACUUGAGAUAUUUUAUCACUCUUCCAUCAAAGAUGAGUGUUUUACCACUUUGAAAGGAAUUUCCGAGCUUUCUCGUUUGAUGGUUAGUACGGGGAAACAUCUGUCUUAUCCUUUGGUUUAUAAGCUUUUAAAGUUAGCUUUGAUAUUACCCGUAGCAACCGCUAGUGUAGAAAGAUGUUUUUCGAAGAUGAAGCUCUUGAAGACCGACUUGCGCAACAAGAUUGGCAAUGAAUUUUUGAACGAUGCGUUACUUUGCUAUGUUGAGACCGAAGCACUUAUAAAAGUUGAGAAUGAAAAGGUAAUGGAACGGUUUCAAAAGAUGUCCACACGAAAAUGACAAAUUUAAAUUGGAUAGAUGAUAGAUUGUUGUUAUGGUUUUAACUUUUAUGUAAUGAAUCGCUUAUUUGUAUUAGACAUAAUGAAUUAGUUUUUGGUUUUAUAUUAAGUUUGACCGGAAAAAAAAAAUCGACAACACCUACUAUCAAUUCCUGCAUCCGUCUCUGGUAACUGGGUAGAACAAUGAUUUAAAUGUCCUACUAUCAAUUCCUACGUCUCUGGUAACUGGGUAGAACAAUGAUUUAAAUGUCCUCGAUCAAUCGCCGUUGUUUGAUGUGAAAUACUAUGAAACAGGACCCGAUUGUUCCUUUUAUCUAAAUGACGAACACUACAAGCGUUGUUACUAUCUUACGGAUGAAAUAUAUCCAUCAUGGGUUGUACCCUCCCAAACUGUUUUAAAUCAAUGUUUACAUCUCUAUUACCAAUUACACUAAAUGGACAAUGACACUAAAAUUAUUUGUAUUAUGUUAUGGUUUUAUGCUCUAAUCAUCGAGCACAAUAACCGAUUUAAAGAUUGUGUAAACCAGGGAACACAAAGGUGGAAGAGCUGCUACAAGGAAGCAAAUAUUACUUAAAUUUUGAAAGGAUAAAAACAAAAAGAAUGGGAAAAAAGGUAUGGAAUGCCACUUUCUCCUUUAUCUAAAACCUUACCCUCCUAGUAUUUAAUGACAACAUAAAGAUAGAAUCAAAAAAACUAACGUUUAAGGUUUUAGUAAUCAGAUUCUCUCAUUUAAUCGCACAAAUUUUGCUGACUAUUAUGUAUUCUAGCUUACUUUGGCAUUUCAACGAGCAUUUGAUUCGACAUAUUUCAGUGUAAUUUCCUCACGUUUAAAAUAGACCGAUAUAAAUUUAAGAUAUUAAUGUCUUGCUUCAACCAUGAAAAACGAGAUUUUUCAUAAAGGCAAUUUUAAAUAAGGGAAUAUAAAUAACCAAAAAACUAUUUAAAACAUACUUUCUGUAUUAAAGAUAACCAAGACAAAUAAUACCAAAAAACACGUCCAUGCUGAAUAACAAUUUAACAAAACACCAACCAAAACUUGUUCUCAUAAAAAAUAAACUUGUUCAAACAAACUUUAACUAACCAUAACUUACCAAAAUUACCCUUCUCCCUCAAGCCUUCAUGCGGUUAUAGAACUUGAGCUUCUCCUGUGUAGUCUGGAAACGCCCAUGUCCAAAUUUGGAAGAAGUAUCAAUGAACUUGAGCUUAAUCUCCUCAAGCGCCAGCCUGGACGUCUGUGCCAACAAGGAUUGACGAAGUGUCACCACCCUCUUCUUGGGGCCCACACAGCAACCUUUGAUCAACAAAUAGUCAUCCUUCACCACUCCAUAGUGAGGGAACCCACCCAUUGGAGUUAUAUCCUUCUCAGUCCUACAUCAAUCAAACAUUAUUUACACAUUAAGUCCUCCUACAACAUUUAUUUACAUUUUUAGUCCUUAAAAUAACAAACCUGUCAAACUCAGUAAGAGCAGUAUGUGACUCUAGUCCAGUUUUCCCAAGCUUGUAAAUCUUCUUGUUCAUUUCAGUACGAUGAUGGUAACCAUUCUGCCCGGCUCGGGCAACUGUGAAGGAAACUCGGGCAGGGUGCCACGCUCCGAUACACGCCACCUUACGGAGACCUCUGUGAGUCUUACGUGGCAGCCUAGUCACACCCCAACGAGUCACAACACCUUCAUAACCUUUACCUUUUGUAACUCCAAUUAUAUCAAUCAUUUCAUCCUUUUGGAAAACUGCAUCAAUUGGGAUUUGCUUUUCGAAAAAUCCAUAAGCAAAAUCCACCUUUUGAGCAAUUGUUCCUCCGUUUACUUGAAUCUCCAUUAGGUGUGCUUUCUUCUGCUUCAACCCUUUCAUUUUCCUGAUCUGGGUGUGGGCUAAGACCCGGAUUACAGUUCCAUAUUUCUUCAUUUUCUCAAGCUGGGAUUGAAUGUCCUUUUUGCCCUCGUCGGAUUCGAAUUUCUUUGAGUAUUUGGCAAAUGCUUUCUUCUUGGAUUUGCACCAGUUUUUGUAGAAUCUUCUCUUGAUGUCUUCGCUCAGAUGUUGAGCCCAAACAGUGUUCAAUGAACGAAGGCCACGUGGCGUCUUGACAUAGGCUACCACUCCAACAACCACCAUGGGUGGGGUCUCGAUGAUGGUCACUGCUUCGCAUGUUUCCUUCUUGUGAAGCUCUGUGAAUCCAAAGGAAGAUGUUUUUUAAUCAACUAGAUUAAUCAAGAAUCUGAGAGUUUCAGACUUUUUUUUCAAAGAUUGAAAAGUAAGUGGAAAUCUGAAGAGGGUUUUACUUGAUCCAGGCUUCUCGACAUCUCUGACAAUGUGAGUCAUCCCAGCCUUGUAGCCCAAGAAAGCGGUUAGCUUGCAUGGUUUGGUUGGGUCAUCCUUGGGGAAAGCCUUCACUGUAAUGGAUAUAAGGAAGAAAGACAUUGCAUAAGAUAUAACAUGAUUUAAUCAUAUCAGAUUGUGGUUUUAGGUGUAAGAUUAGAAGAUGUUAAAGUGAUUAAGCCAACAAGGAUUUAAGUAAAAGAAACCAAUUAUUUCAAAUUGAAGAGGAAACGUUAUUGUUCACAUCAUAAACCUCAAACUACAAAUGAAACAAUUUGAUGUUGAUUUGUGAUGCAAAUAGACAUGGCUAUGUUGACACAAAAUCGCAAAUAAGUUUGUUAAACAAAUCCUAAAUCAUGUAAGUCCUCAAUCAAAAAAAAGACAAUGCGUAUUUUAAGUAAAAAACAACAAUGUAUACCUUUCCCUCUGUGGCGAGCAGCACGCUUCCUGGGAAGAAAUCCAAGGGAACCAUGUCUGGGGUGCUCAAACUUCCUGUGAGACAUCCUACUCUUCCUCCUCCUUCACCUUUAAUGUUAAAAAAAAGAAAAAACAAUUAAAAACAAUACACACCUCAAAUGAGCUUUAAAUCGAAGUAUAAACAAGCAUAUACAUCUCUAAAUCGACGAACACACAAAAAUAGAGGAUUCAAAAUGAUUGCAAAAGAAAGAUGCUUCUCUUUAAUCAGAAUAAAAAUCGUAUAUGGUCAAUUGAAGAUGUUCACACAAAUGCAGAUCGACUAAAUUGCGAAAUUAAACCAUAUAAAGGUUAUCAUCUAUGAUUAGCAUGCGAAAAUAGCAAUCGAGGAUCAAAUGUGUUAGAGAGAUGUUGAAAGGAUGAGAGAACCUGCUAGUUGCUGCGAAGAUAGCCGUGCGGCGAUAGUUGCCCCAGUGAAAUGCAUCUAAAACCCUAGCAAAAUAUAUAUAAUCAUCGUAGUUUCCAUUGCACAACAAGCCCCCCUAAACUUUACAAAAAGCACAGAAAUUCCCCUCAGUUUUCUAAAAGACACCUAACGGGCUUGGGCUAAAGUUGGUUCUUGUCUUCCUAGGCCAGGGCCUCUAACUCUGUGUGUAUUUCAAUUUUCAAAGGCAAUGUUUACAUCAUAUUGAUAAAAAUUAGAAUUCAUUUUAUAGAAAUAAAAAAUACAUGUUUAUUUUGUCUAAUAAAAUAAAACGCAUCAUCGUUGUUAUUGAAGAAUUGUUUAUUUACUUUUGAAACAGCAUUUGUUGUUAGGGCCUAGUUGAAAAUAUAUUUACUAUUUUCAAAAGGAUUUUACUAAAAAGUAGUUGCGUAAAAUAUGGUUUCAACAUAUUAAAUAUUUUAAUAUAUUAAAUAUUUUAAUAAGUUUAAAAUAAUAAAAUUGUUAACAAUAAACCUAUCAAAAUAUGAUUCAAGCUCACCUUAUAACUUGUGGCCUCUUUAAAGUUCAAAAUAAUCAUUAUACAAGCUAGGGUCUUAAAUCCAGCACACAUUAAAUGAUUAUGACUUGAACCCUAAAAAUUAGGGUUUUAAGUCAGCAUACGUAAGUUGCGCAUACCACUUUGUCCUUGCGCGUACAUGCAUGGCUCCACAUUUUCCUUGUUCUUACUAUGUCGUGCAUACGACUUCAGCUAGCCCAAACACAUAGAGGCCCAACCUCUAAGCCCAAAAUAACUUCAUGGCCCAGAACAAUUAAAUACAUUAUUAAAUAAAUUAGCAAUACCUUGAAAUCACGGAUGUUACAGAAUAAGAAGCUUCAAAUAGACUAACUAUGGACACUUANCACGGAUGUUACAGAAUAAGAAGCUUCAAAUAGACUAACUAUGGACAUUUUGGCAAGUAUAGUCCAUCCUUGUUAUUCUUUUAUCUCAUUUGAUUAUCUUUUCACAAAUAACUCCGUCUACCACCAUCUAUUUUCGUAUUAAACCCCUCCCCACCAUAUUCCUCACAUUUUAAAUCUUGCAUAGUUAAAUAAAUUGGUAAAUAUUCCCAUUUUUCCCCAUUUAAAUCUUCAAAUAAUUGUAAAGUCUUUUAUUCAAGGUUUUACCUCCAUAAAAAAUUAAUUUUUUAUUAUUAUUUUAUAGUUAAUUUUAUUUUAUUAAAAUAUUUUUUUUAAUUUCCCAUUUUUUCUCAAAAAGUUCAAAACUUUUAGGCCCAAAAUUACGAUGUUACAAUUUUAUGUGAUGUUUUUGUAACGUCCGGAUCCUGGUAUGUAUUUUAAAUCAAACUAGUCAUUUUUGCAAAGGGACUCGACGAGUUAGAGGCCCAAACUCGUCGAAUAGGAAUGGAUUUUUGGACGCGGGACUUGAAAUCUACUCGAUGAGUUGAGAGCCUCAACUCGACGAGUAAGAUGCCAGAUUGAAACCCUAAUUUUCAGGGUUUGCACUCUAUUUAAACACCUUAACCUCCUAAGGAUGGCCUCAUUUGUAGUCUCCAUCACUCCAACCCCUAGCCAUGAAACCCUAAUCCACCUUCGAGUGUUCUUGAGCCAUUUUUGGGUAUUCUUGGUGAUUUUGAAGCUUGAGAAGGAAGGAGAAGCUUGAGGAUUCAAGAGGAAGGCACUGGAUCCGGAAGUUGACAUGCAUUUCUGACUCAUUUGAGGUAUAAAGUUGAUACGUUGGCUUUCCUUUGCUUAGAUCUUCAUUUAGGGUUGUAUUUUGUUACUUUUGGGCCAUAUUGAAGUCAUUUUUGGGAUUUGAGUGUAUCAUUAGGUUUUGACUUCAGAUCUAGACACUCAUGAGCUUAUAAGACUUAAAGUUGUCAGCUUUAUCAAGCCUUGACUAUUCCCCAUGCCCUAGACCUCUUAUAUAGCUUAGUUUUGGUGUUUCUAGCUUUGUGGCACCAUACAUGAACAUAAAGUUAGCAACUUUACGUGGUAACUUAGUCCUAGGGGAUCAGAUCUAUGGUUUGGAAGCAUUGAACUCGACUGGAAACGACUGAAUGAGUUCAGCCUAUGGGGGACUCGACGAGUUGUUCAUGCAACUCGGCGAGUUGGGUUGUGGUCCCCCAACUUUUUAUGUUGCUGGGUAAACUCAUUGAGUCUAGGAGAUGACUCAGCGAGUUGGCCAUGAUUUUGGGUUUAGAAGAUUGAAGAACUCGACGAGUUCAAGGAGGAACUGGCGGGUUAAGGGAAAUGUCUCGACUCUGUUAUGAGGAGGAAUUCAACGAGUUGGAUCGAGAUUUCUAGGGUUUUAUGGAUAUGGAACUCGACGAGUUUAUGGACCAACUCGGUGAGCUGAGUCAACCAGGAUGUUGACUUUGACCUGGAUAUGGACUUUGACUAGGAUGUUGACUUUAACUUUGACCAUUGACCAGAGUUGACCCUUAAAGGGGUUAUAAGUAUGAAAGGGGUAAUUAAAGGAGAUUUUUAUAUGUAGGAGUUUGAGAGGAGUUGAUCCCAGAGCUGAGGACAAUUCAACUAUUACACGACAUUUCAGGUGAGUUGUCUUCCAGAAGAAGUGGGUCGAAGGCACCAAUGCUGACCCACUGGUAUGAGCUAUAGUAGAGAUGAUUAUCUUUGUGAUAAUUAUUUGGUAUGUCACUAUCUGUUAUGCUUUAUGUGCUAAUAUGUUAUGAUAUUAUGUGAUAGUGGUAAGAGGGGUAGGAUAGACCCCAGUACCGGUCGAUAGGCCCGAAAGGGUAUGCCAACACCCGGAUAAGCUAGGCAGUAAAUGACUUAUGUGUUUACGAGCUAGAAUGUUAUAUGGUAGAAGUAGGGUUGAAAUAGUCUAUGGUACCGAUCGAAAGGAUCGAAGGGAUCGAACGGGUAGGCAAGCACCCUGGUAUGCUAGGAUAGGUACCGGUCGAAAGGACCGAAGGGGUAGGCCAGCACCCUGACAUGUUAGGCGAGUUAUUGGUUGCAAGAGACCAAAGGGGUAGGUCAUUACCCUGAUAUGCUAGGCAGCUACCGAUUGAAAGAGACCAAAGAGGUAGUCCAGUACCCAUAUAUGUUAGACAAUAUGAUUAUUGUAUGGUAUGUGGUAUAAUGGGGGAACUCACUAAGCUUUGUGCUUACAGUUUUCAGUUUUGUUUCAGGUCCUUCUUCUUCUUCGAAUGGAAAGGAGUCGGCACGAUAGCAACGCAUCACACACAUGAGAUUAUUGAGAUUUAUACUCUGAAAUUAUUUUCCUAUGAUAUGUUUUUGAGAUGGUUGACAUAGGGUUUUCAUGAUAUAAGAUAACAUUGAUGGCAUUUUCAGUAAUAGUUUUAUAAAUCUUUGAAUUUAAAAUGAAAUUUUUGGUCUUGAAAUUUGGGAUGUUACAAAUUUCUUUUAAUUUCAUAAUAAGAUUGAACGGAUAUUUAGCAAAGAUGAUAUUUAUAUAUUUUUUAUGUUGGAUUAGGUGUGUAGGACAUUAACUAAAUUAUUAGCAAAGUCCUUUUGGGUUUCCCUCAGACUAGUAAAAGACUGGAAUGUUAUUUGGAGAAAGAGACUGAUUUAUUAAUUUAUUAUAUGAUUAAUAAACUAAUUAGAAGUCAAAAUAAAUAAUUUAUUAAUAUGUCUUGAGAAAAAUAUAUCAAUUAAAAAAUAUAUUGUUUAAUUAUAAAUUAAUUAGAAAUUCAUUGAAAUUGAUUUUGGGAUUAAUUGGAAUAACUAAAAGUGGGAUGACUAAAGGUGACAAUGUUCAAAAGAUUGAACAUUGACCAAUUCUAGAACCUCCCAAGAGGGUUGGACGAAUUCUAGAAUGGUUCAAGGGUUUUCUUAGGCACUAAAGGUGCAUUGGAUGCUUUAGGAAGGAAGUUAAGGGGAUAUGACUUCUCGUAAGAAACUGUCUUAUCCUUAGUUCCAUUGAUCAUCUAUAUAAACCCUCCUUAGGUUUCAUAUUUUCGGCCAUCAUACCUCUCAAAAUAAUUCUAAAAAUUCUCCUUCUUUCCCCUCUUUCCUCUUUAGCCUCAAACUGUUAGGGUUUUGGUGUGAGUCAUCAGAGGCAUGAGAUUUCUGGUGUUGACUUUCUGAAGUUCUACAAAGAAGGAUUAAUAGUUUAUUUAUAAUAAUAGACUAAAAGGUAUUUUUUCUGUUAUCCCUUCUCCUAAAUCGAAAAUAGCAAUGUAGUUUAAAGUUUUUAAAUUCAAAUUGUUAUUUGCAUAUCAUAGUGAGAACAUAAAUCCUUUAGGGUGUAUGCGAACUUAAGGUUUAGGUUUUCCGCUAAAAAUAUGAUUUUUGUUACCUAUAAAACCCAUCAUUUUAUUAUUUAACUAAAUUACAAUCUUACAUUUUAAAUAAUGAAAAAAAUACUAAUUUGAUUGUAAUAUACUUAGUUUAAUGAAUUUUUAUUAUAUUAUAUCAGUCUUGUAGAAAAAAGCAUUUGAAAUAAUAUGUACCAGUUUAGAUGUACAUUUUUUACAUAAUAAAACAUGUUGGAGUCUAAAGUUUAUUUUGGAAAGUUUGAGUGAAUAUUUGUUUUCAAUGUUCAAAUUUUGCUAAAGAUGUUCUUAAAGAUUUGGAGUGGCUUAGGUGUUUUUUGUUUUUGUAAAAAACUUUUUCAGACCAUUUAUUUUUGUGCGGCGUAGCGCCACACUUGUCCCCUUGUAGCAAUUUGUGUUUUGGAAGGUUUCAGACUACAAAAUCUAUGCGUGUGUUGUGUCCGGCGCAACACUUGACUUGUCUCUUCAAACAUUUUCAGAUUUCAUUUUUUCCAAGUUUUUUUUUAGAAUUUUGGUAUAACUUUUUUUAAAACUUUGAUUUAUGGAUUUGAUAUAAUUUUUUUUAUAGUUUCCACAACUUCUUAUAACUUUUUUUUUUUUUAGUUUCUACAACUUUUUUUAACUUUUUUUUUUUUUUUUUUUUUUUUAAAUUUUGAUUUUUUUAAUUUUUUUUACCAUUUUUAUUAAUAAUAUUUUUAGUUUCGAUUGCAUAUUUUUUAGUAUGUGCAAUUUUUUUCGAACUUUGUAGACAUUGUUUGCACUAUUUUCUUAAAAAAAAUUAUUAUUUACUUUUUUUUAUGUUUUUUAAAAUUAUUUUUUUCUAGAAUAAAACUGAUAGUUUCUUUUAUAUUUUUUAGAUUUUUUUUAGAAAUUUUAUAUUUUUGUUUUUUUGCAUGUUCUUUUUAGUAUUCUUUCAAUGUUUUAAGAGUAUAAUUAUUAAAAUUUCGGUAUUGAGAAUUAUUUUCAAUUUAUAAAAUUAGUUUAUUUAAAUAUCAAUUUACCACAGAUGUUAAAAAAUAAACAUGUUUCUUAUUAUAUGUUGCAGCUGUUUGGUAUACCUCUUCUGUUGCAGAGGUGGUCCGUAGACUUCAUGAAUUUUUGUUUCGAAAAACAAACAGCACCUUAGCUUAGAUGUACCUUUUUCUGGGGAGGAGAUGGUAAGGUGGAAAAAGAGUUUUGCGUCGGAAGAUGUUGGAUAAUCGGGGGUUGGCUUGUUAUGCCGACUCUUUUGGUUAAAUGAAGGUGACAUUUUUUAUAAUGAACCUAUGUCAUAUGAGUGUGUUUGAUUAAAAAGUGUCCAUUGUGCUCAUUAAAGUGGAAUUGUGUGUGCUUUUCGAAGUUUUGAGGGAUGAUCGAUUGUGUUUAAGAUAAUUUGAUGAUCCAAAAGAAAAUUGGUUCUUACUUAGGUCACUUUUUGUUUGGAGACUUUUGAUUUGUUUGCAAAGUGAAGAUAUGACUUAUAUCGAUUUGUAUGAGAUUUUUUGAUGGGGGUGUCAAGAUGAUUUUUGUAUUUGGGUCUUAUGGGGAUCUAGAUGUUUUUGUUCUCUUAACUCAUAUUUUUUGGAAUUUGGAUAGUAAUUCAUUUUUUUUUUUGACGAGUUAACAAGAUGUAAUAAGUUGGUGUUGGUAAAAAUUCACAUUUUAGCUAGGCGAACAUUAUCGAAACAGAUUGGGUAAGUGAGACAUUUUAUUUUGAUUUUGGCUGGAGUUUCUUUUUGAUUCAAUUCUAGUUAUUUCCUUUCUUGGCUUAAAUCGGGUUGUAGUAACUUUACUUAUUCUUCAUCUAAUCCCAAUUUGACAUCUAACUUGUUAAAAGACCCUAAUUUGAAGGGGUGUUUGGCUUAGCUUUUCACCAAUGUUUUAAAAACCGGUUUGAAUCGACCGGUCGAACCGGUUGGACCGGAAAUCGGGGAAGUGAAUGGUUCAACUAUCACCGAUUUUAUGUCUAUUUCUGAACCGGAUUGAACCGGUUUUUACAAAAAUCCGGUUGAACUGGUUCAAUUAAACCGGUUGAACCGUUAAAUUGAAUAAAAACAUAUGGAAUCGAAACCUUUUGCAUAACAAACUUUGGUAGUUUUUUCAUAUUUAUUAAAUUUUUUUGAAUAAAAGCAUAUGAUAAAUAUUAUGAAGUUUUUUGAUACAUUUAUAUGCAUCUAGGACUUUAUUUGCUUUUUAAUGCACAUAGAUUAAUGUAAAACUUAUGGUUAUGAGUUAUUUUAAUGUACUUAGAAUGAUCUACAACUUGUUUUGGCAAAUUCACUCAGCGGUCGAACCGGUUAAACUGGUUGAACCGGAAAUCGGUCAUCAUUUCGGUUCAACUAAAAAACCGAUUUUUAAAACAUUGCUUUUCACAGUCCAAAAGUCCUUUUUGGAAAAGAAAAAAACAAAAGAUGUUUGACAAAACUAAUUUUAAAAGCUAAUUUUAGAAUUUUUAUAUAAGGAAAAUGAACUUUUUAGAAAAGUCAGGACUUUUUGUAACUUUUCAAAAAGGACUUUUGGGUUGCGAAAGUUAAGCCAAACACCCCUGAAUUCUUGUAUUGUUUAUAUUUACAGCUAGUUCUUUGCUAAUUUAUAUAAUAAAAUCUUUUCUUUGUUCAAAAAAAUAUAUAAACAACUAAUAUGAAAAGUGGUUAUAUCUAUAAGGACAUAUUUGUUACUUAGAUUAUUUUAAGGUUCCAUGACAACCACAAACGAUCAAAGUCGAGUAUUUCAAAGCUUCACGACAUCCAAAGAUGACAUAGACAGAUCAUUAGACAACUGUUGUCCACUAAGAUCCAACUAUUCAAGCUCAACUUAAAAACCAACUUCAAUCCACAUCUUUCAACUUCAAUUGAGAGAUAUACUCCAGCUCAAUCCAAAAAUGGCCUCAAAUAUGUAACACAAAUUGAUGGAAACAAGAACAAGUGGUUUUAUUCCAGAAAGAAGAUAUUAAAUUAUAUAAAAAUAACUAAACUUUAUGUUUCUUCAUGGGAUUACAGACAGAUUCAUCUUCUUCUUGAAGUCUAUCCCUCACAACCCACAAAAAUUACCCAAAUUUAAAAGAAUCAAUAAAAAAGAUUUAACCCCAAAAAAAAGAAAAACAAAAAAAGACUUUGCAAAAUCAAUCAUCAUCAAUGUAUCAGGUCCCGAUCCCUUUCUAUCUACACACAUUCACUGAUAAAUAUUUCACUCACAGACCAAUCAAAACCUUCAUCCAGACCUUUCUUCUUUCUUCUGUAACAUCUCUAAUUCUUCUUUCUUCAAUCUUCAAAUCUUCUUUCUUCACGUCUGUAUCACUUCAGUCACAAUCCAAUCCACAAACUUCCAACACAAUCCCACCCCUGUCCAAAAACGGGUUGACCCGGACCCACAACAGAGAGAAAAUCGACGCCAACAAGAUCGACCACACAAUCAAAAUCGUCGGAACCCCACUUUGCUUCCCCAUCAUACCCUUCAAGAACGGAUAAAGAUGCAAAAUCACCCAAAUCGCGAAGAACAAUCGACCAAAAAGCGGACCCCAUGAUUCGUAUCCAUUGCUAAUCGCAUCUGAUAUCCCAACAAUCACACCGAUUAUGUUGAUGAUUAAGAGGGUCAAUGGCGGGAUUAAGAGGGUCGUCCAUUUGAAGAGAUAAAGCUCUGCAAAAUCACCAUCGUCUCCUCCUUUUGACGUAACUGUAAAAUUCGUGUUGACUCCGGCCAAUACUUUGAGUAGACCUUGAAAAAGGGCAAAAAGAUGAGCUGAGACACCACCGAUUACCCAAAACUGUUCGUUUCUCCAUAAAUCAUCAAUCCCGACACCUCCCCAUUGGAUUUCGAGAAUGCUUGUUACAGCAAUGGAUAAAAACAUGAGCAUGAAGAGAAUACUUGCGUAAUUGCUUAUCUGCAAAUUUGUACAACAAUCUCAUCAGUCAUCAGUCAUCACCAAUCAUUUUAAUCUUUGAUAGAUUUUCAAAAUACUUACCUCAGGAACAAUAAACUUUCCAGUGAGUAGACAAACAGCAGGAAGUGUACAAUAGGCAACCAAGGGGACAGAUGUCAACGGAUAAACAACCGAAUUUAUAUACGAAAACCGCUCCAACGGUUUCAACCCGCACCCGUAUCCGUACCAAAUCGGACAAUGUCGGCUCAACAAGAUUUCAACCGACCCGAGGGCCCACCUAAGAACUUGAUGAAGACGAUCCGAUAGAUUAAUAGGAGCCGAACCCUUAAAAGCCGCCCUUUUUGGAAUACAAUAAACCGAUCUCCAACCAUGACAAUGCAUCUUGAAUCCCGUUAAAAUAUCUUCCGUAACCGACCCGUAAAUCCAUCCAACCUAUUUUUAAAAUUAAAAAAAAAAAAAGUUAAGUAUAUAUUAAAAUAAGAAAAUAACCGCUAUGCGUGUCCAUUUCGUUGGCCCGUUUUGUUACAAAAACGGGACCGUGAAAUGGAUCUUGGGUCCUGUUUCUGUUUCGGUAACAGAAACAAGACCUACAAAAUGGGUCUUGUUUCUGUAAAAGAAACAGGACUCACAAAAUGGAAGAGGAUUUUAAGGGAAUACCUCUUUUCCCCAUUCGGUUUUAUCUUCAUAACCGCAACUUAUAACAUGAAUGGCUUCUUUCAAGAGUGAUGCGGAAGUUGCUCCGGGAGGAACACCGCCGUCUUCCAAAAGUGUUGAAGCGAUAAAAACCGGAGAUUGACCGAAUUUUUUCUCAAACUUUAUUUGAGGCAUGAGUGAUGACUUUUCACUAUCGAUUCCUAUAUUCAAAAGAAGAAGAAAAAAAAAAUUAGGGUUUUUGACAUAAAAAGAUUUUGAAAUUGGUCCCCUUUAAAAGCACACGAUACUUACCUUCGAUUCCUUCUUCGAUAUUCUCUAACGCAUGUAUUUGUGGUGAAGUCUCUUUAUUCUUCUUAUUACUCUUGCUUGUUUUCUCCUUUGACUUCCCUUUUCCUUUCUUCUUUCUUGAUGACAAACAACAACAAAACCAUUUUGGCAAACAAUUGCAUGUUUUCCCGGGUGGUUUCUUUUUUGUUGGGGCAUCGUAUCCAUACAAUGCUUGUCUCCUAAACACACACCCCGUUCCCACAUAUAUUGGCCCUUGUAUUCCAUCAAGCCCUUUCAUAUUAAUCUAAUACAAAAUAUCAAGUUGAAAUUAGUUUAUGAUGAUGACAUUAAUGUUAUAUAUAAAGAUUGAGUUGAAAAGUUAGUUUGCAUACAUCGAAGAACACAACAUUACGAUUUGAGUAUCGAUCGUGUCGAUCAAUACCAUCGAAUCUUUGAGGAAAUUGAACAUAACAAAUCUUCUUUCCGGAUGUGGGGUCCAUCAUGAAACACAUAGAUUCUCUAAGUGCUUUAGAGUUGUUGAUGUAGUGAUCACAAUCGACAUUGAGCAUAUAAGGUGCGUUUGAGAUCAC
rnacentral:lncRNA from 1 species